rnacentral:rRNA from 1 species
GNCGUCAAGUCAUCAUGGCCCUUACGGCCANGGCUCACACGUACUACAAUGGUAGGGACAGAGGGCUGCAAGCCGGCGACGGUGAGCCAAUCCCAGAAACCCUAUCUCAGUCCGGAUUGGAGUCUGCAACUCGACUCCAUGAAGUCGGAAUCGCUAGUAAUCGCAGAUCAGCAUUGCUGCGGUGAAUACGUUCCCGGGCCUUGUACACACCGCCCGUCACACCAUGGGAGUUUGUUGCACCAGAAGCAGGUAGCUUAACCUUCGGGAGGGCGCUUGCCACGGUGUGGCCGAUGACUGGGGUGAAGUCGUAACAAGGUAGCCGUAUCGGAAGGUGCGGUUGGACAAANCCN